AGAGUUUGAUCCUUGCUCAGAUUGAACGCUGGCGGCAUGCCUUACACAUGCAAGUCGAACGGUAGAGGGGCAACCCUUGAGAGUGGCGAACGGGUGAGUAAUGCAUCGGAACGUGCCCAGUCGUGGGGGAUAACGCAGCGAAAGCUGUGCUAAUACCGCAUGUGAUCUGUGGAUGAAAGCGGGGGACCGAAAGGCCUCGCGCGAUUGGAGCGGCCGAUGUCAGAUUAGCUAGUUGGUAGGGUAAAAGCCUACCAAGGCGUCGAUCUGUAGCUGGUCUGAGAGGACAACCAGCCACACUGGGACUGAGACACGGCCCAGACUCCUACGGGAGGCAGCAGUGGGGAAUUUUGGACAAUGGGCGCAAGCCUGAUCCAGCAAUGCCGCGUGCAGGACGAAGGCCUUCGGGUUGUAAACUGCUUUUGUACGGAACGAAACGGUCUGGGUUAAUACCCUGGGCUACUGACGGUACCGUAAGAAUAAGCACCGGCUAACUACGUGCCAGCAGCCGCGGUAAUACGUAGGGUGCGAGCGUUAAUCGGAAUUACUGGGCGUAAAGCGUGCGCAGGCUGUUUUUGUAAGACAGGCGUGAAAUCCCCGGGCUCAACCUGGGAAUGGCGCUUGUGACUGCAAAGCUAGAGUGCGGCAGAGGGGGAUGGAAUUCCGCGUGUAGCAGUGAAAUGCGUAGAUAUGCGGAGGAACACCGAUGGCGAAGGCAAUCCCCUGGGCCUGCACUGACGCUCAUGCACGAAAGCGUGGGGAGCAAAAAGGAUUAGAUACCCUGGUAGUCCACGCCCUAAACGAAGUCAAACUGGUUGUUGGUCCUUUAGCUGGAUCAGUAACGAAGCUAACGCGUGAAGUUGACCGCCUGGGGAGUACGGCCGCAAGGAUGAGACUCAAAGGAAAUGACGGGGACCCGCACAAGCGGCGGAUGAUGUGGUUUAAUUCGAUGCAACGCGAAAAACCUUACCCACCUCUGACAUGGCAGGAAGGCUCCAGAGAUGGGGCUGUGCUCGAAAGAGAACCUGCACACAGGUGCUGCAUGGCUGUCGUCAGCUCGUGUCGUGAGAUGUUGGGUUAAGUCCCGCAACGAGCGCAACCCCCGCCCUUAGUUGCUACGAAAGGGCACUCUAAUGGGACUGCCGGUGACAAGCCGGAGGAAGGUGGGGAUGACGUCAAGUCCUUAUGGCCCUUAUAGGUGGGGGUACACACGUCAUACAAUGGCCGGUACAAAGGGUAGCCAACCCGCGAGGGGGAGCCAAUCCCAUAAAGCCGGUCGUAGUCCGGAUCGCAGUCUGCAACUCGACUGCGUGAAGUCGGAAUCGCUAGUAAUCGUGGAUCAGCAUGUCACGCCGAAAAAGUUCCCGGGUCU
rnacentral:rRNA from 1 species